AGCAGCCGCGGUAAUUCCAGCUCCAAUAGCGUAUAUUAAAGUUGUUGCAGUUAAAAAGCUCGUAGUUGAAUUUCGGGGUUAGUAGGUUGGUCAUGCCUCUGGUAUGUACUGGUCUCACUGAUUCCUCCUUCCUGAUGAACCUUAAUGCCAUUAAUUUGGUGUUUUGGGGAAUUUGGACUGUUACUUUGAAAAAAUUAGAGUGUUUAAAGCAAGCUAACGCUUGAAUACAUUAGCAUGGAAUAAUGAAAUAGGACGUUCGAUCCUAUUUUGUUGGUUUCUAGGAUUGACGUAAUGAUUAAUAGGGAUAGUUGGGGGCAUUAGUAUUCAAUUGUCAGAGGUGAAAUUCUUGGAUUUAUUGAAGACUAACUACUGCGAAAGCAUUUGCCAAGGAUGUUUUCAUUAAUCAGGAACGAAAGUUAGGGGAUCGAAGACGAUCAGAUACCGUCGUAGUCUUAACCAUAAACUAUGCCGACUAGGGAUCGGAUGAUGUUAAUUUUUUAAUGACUCA
rnacentral:rRNA from 2 species